AACGUAGGAGACAACCGUUAUCCGGAGUUACUGGGCGUAAAGGGCGUGUAGGUGGUAAUGUAAGUCUGGCGUGAAAUUUUUCGGCUUAACCGGGAAAGGUCGUCGGAGACUGCAUAACUAGAGGACGGUAGAGGCGUGUGGAAUUCCGGGUGUAGUGGUGAAAUGCGUAGAGAUCCGGAGGAACACCAGUGGCGAAGGCGACACGCUGGGCCGUGGCUGACACUGAGGCGCGACAGCGUGGGGAGCAAACAGG
rnacentral:rRNA from 1 species